rnacentral:rRNA from 1 species
AGGACGAACGCUGGCGGCGUGCUUAACACAUGCAAGUCGAGCGGAAAGGCCACUUCGGUGGUACUCGAGCGGCGAACGGGUGAGUAACACGUGAGUAAUCUGCCCUUGGCUUUGGGAUAGCCACCGGAAACGGUGAUUAAUACCGGAUACGACAACUUCUCGCAUGAGAUGGUUGUGGAAAGUUUUUCGGCCAGGGAUGUGCUCGCGGCCUAUCAGCUUGUUGGUGAGGUAAUGGCUCACCAAGGCUUCGACGGGUAGCCGGCCUGAGAGGGUGACCGGCCACACUGGGACUGAGACACGGCCCAGACUCCUACGGGAGGCAGCAGUGGGGAAUAUUGGACAAUGGGCGGAAGCCUGAUCCAGCAACGCCGCGUGAGGGAUGACGGCCUUCGGGUUGUAACCUCUUUUGUCAGGGAAGAUUAUGACGGUACCUGGCGAAUAAGCCACGGCUAACUACGUGCCAGCAGCCGC